rnacentral:rRNA from 1 species
UACGUAGGGUGCAAGCGUUGUCCGGAAUUAUUGGGCGUAAAGAGCUCGUAGGCGGUUUGUUGCGUCGGCUGUGAAAUCCCGAGGCUCAACCUCGGGUCUGCAGUCGAUACGAGCAAACUAGAGUGUUGCAGGGGAGACUGGAAUUCAUGGUGUAGCGGUGAAAUGCGCAGAUAUCAGGAGGAACACCGAUAGCGAAGGCAGCUCGCUGGGACGGUACUGACGCUGAGGUGCGAAAGCGUGGGGAGCGAACAGG